CGCAAUUGAUUCGCAGCAGACUGGUCCGAGUACGAAAAACGUCAUCUGGUCUUCACUGUGAAGACGACAGGGUCCCACGGGCUGGCUCUGUCCAGGCCGAAGACCCAGUCGAAGGCUGGGAGUCCAGGAGUGCCUGUCCGGUGUCGCCUGGCAGGGGCUGCGACGGAGCGGUUGACACAGAGAGGGUGAGCAACUUUGCCCAAGACUACACAGCUACUUAGCGGAAGAGGUCGGAUCCAUCUAUGAAGAGCACGGGACCUAGAAAAGGGCACCAAAAGAAAGAGAAGUGGUUCUUGUGUGUCCCGCCCACUAUGAGAAAAAUCUUCUGAUAUCCUGUUUUUAAGAGUCUUGAUUCAACUGAUUCUCUGGUAUCACACCUAACUCUGUGCCUGUCACCGUGUGGGUCCUGGGAUCACACAGGUGAACGUGACCUCGUCCCUGUGGUCAGCAAGGGGCAUCUGCCGUGUUCUUCCAUUCCUCUCCUCUGGCUGCCACUCAACCACAUCCACUGCUCUUUGCUGCCGAGGAAGCCUUGCACGCUCAGAUAAGGUCUGCCGGUGCCGAGGCUGCCAACUCCAAGCGCUUCUAAAUGUUCCAUCCCUGGGCAUCAGAAGCCUGCUGGGUGCCCUGCCAGCUGGGGAGGACAGCCUCUUCAAGUCCAGGCCUCACUGUAUCUGUUUUUCCUGGCCCUGCAGCAGAGCUGCCUUCCCCUCAAGUUUUACCCUGACCCCUUGGACAGCUCCCUCAGGUUUCUUUUCAUCACUUGUCAGCUUGCCCUAGUUGAAGAGACAGGGAGACAUUUUGUUUUCUCUGACCUCCUCUCCCUUCUCUCUGACCCCGCCCUCUCGCCCUCAAUUCUCCUUUCUCCCGCCUUCUCCCUUUUCCCAGUCACAGAACAAAAGCUUUCACUUUUAUGACUAGCAACAGAACUGGAUCGGUCUGUCUGACUUCGCAGUCGGAAAGGGAGAUGGUUUUUCCCAGCCACGUGAUCAGGGGGUGCGCGUGGACCAGCAGACCUUCUGCUCCUCACCCCCCUGCCCCCGCCCCGAAUGUGCUCGGGGUCCUGGCGCUACAACGUAAGAGUCUGUGUGCUGGAGAGCAAGUUUCCUGCCCGGCUAGACUGGAUCCAUCAAACUAGUUAGACUCAACCAAGAACUGGGCUUUUCGCAACUUGGCUGCCAUCACGGAGGCCAGCAAAUCCCCACAUUUUCUUUUUGGCCUUUCAACAGCCCCCAACAGAAGGCGUCACACUCCACAGUGAUGCCUGAUUUUGUCCAUUCCAAGAUGCCCAUCGUUUUCACAGCUUUACGUCUCAGGAGCCAGCAUGCGUCUUACAUUCGACGCCAGGAGAAAGCACUCUCGCCGUUUAACAUCGCAGCACGUCUUUCUUUGUUUCUUUCGUCCUGUCUUUCUUCAGGGCUAGGUAAAAGAACGGUACCUCUCACAAAAGAUGGCAUCUUAAAUUCGUGAACUACUAUAACAAUA